rnacentral:rRNA from 1 species
AAGACCCCUUGAAGACGACGAGGUUGAUAGGCCUGAGGUGGAAGUACAGCAAUGUAUGGAGCUGACAGGUACUAAUCGGUCGAGGGCUUAUCCAA